GGAAGAUAAUCCAAAAGGGAUUCCUUCAGUAAUGGCGAAUGAACGGGGAAAAGCUCAGCAAAGAAAUCGAGGACUCCGGCCUUGAGUUGUGGACUUGAGAGGUAUCGCCAAUGGUGGCACAGGUGGGGGCCUCUUGGAAAAGGGCACCACAGAGGGUGUGAGUCCUGUUUGCCAUCUGUAGUCCGCUGUGUACGGCAUGCCUCCUCCGAGUCACGUUCCUUGGAAUUGGAGCGCGAAGGUGGUGGUGGCUUUCAUCUCAAGCUAAGUAUGGGUUCGAGACCGAUAGCAAACAAGUACCAUGAGGGAAAAUUGAAAAGAGCUUUGGAAAGAGAGUUAAAAGUGCCCGAACUUGCUGAUAGGGAAGCGAAGGGAGCUGACGUUGCUUGGUAACAUCUUCCGCGCAGGACUAGGAUGGGUUCUGAUUGCAAUGUGUGUUGUGUUUCUUGCCAUGCGUGUCAAUGCCAAGUAAUGAGUGGGGAGAGCUCCAGGGAUAAUGAUUGUUUCUGUCCCCGGGUAGACGAAUAUGUCUGGGUGCAUCCAUUUGUGGGCUGAAAAAUUGGUGGUUGGUUGCAGCUCCCUGCCUACGAGGCAAUUGGGGUGUAGCCCUGACACGCAGACGAGAGCAA
rnacentral:rRNA from 1 species